rnacentral:rRNA from 1 species
UUUGAAAUUACUUGCUACCUGGGUUACCGCGGUAAUUCUAGAGCUAAUACUGCGGAACAGACCCCAAUUUCGGGGAAGGGUUUUUUUUAUUAAAAAAAGAAACCCUCCGGCUUGCCCGGUGAUUCGGUGAUUGAAGGUUCUCGAACCAAUUGUGUGCUGGCCAGCCUUUGAUUCUUUCAAUGCCCGGACCUACGUCCUUGGAUGGAAAGAUGCCUGCCAUGGUUGCAACUUUGAACUGAAAAAAAAAUAUGGAUCCCUGACAGAGAGCCUGACAAACAGCUCGGCUACCAUCGAAGGGAAGGGCACGCAAAUUACCCAUACCCUACACUGACAGGUAGAGACAAUGAAUAAAAAUACCAGGCCCUUUUUUUUUGUCUUUUAAUUGGAAUACAAUUUAUUUCCCUUACCGUUCAACUAUUGAUUGGAAGGUCUGGUUGGU